UUGCACGUUGAGAACUCUUGUUCUUCUUCUUUUGGGAAUGAGACUAUCUGUGGCAUGCUAUAGAAAAUAAAGGAGUUUUCAGGGCUACUAGCCACGUAGUGAAGAUUAAGUGAUAGUCUGUUUCUCUUACAGAA